rnacentral:rRNA from 1 species
UACGGAGGGUGCGAGCGUUAUCCGGAUUCACUGGGCUUAAAGGGUGCGUAGGUGGGUAUGUAAGUCAGUGGUGAAAUCUCUGAGCUUAACUCAGAAACUGCCAUUGAUACUAUGUUUCUUGAAUUUUCUGGAGGUCAGCGGAAUAUGUCAUGUAGCGGUGAAAUGCUUAGAUAUGACAUAGAACACCAAUUGCGAAGGCAGCUGGCUACAGGGAUAUUGACACUGAGGCACGAAAGCGUGGGGAUCAAACAGG